UACAGAGGUCCCAAGCGUUGUUCGGAUUCACUGGGCGUAAAGGGUGCGUAGGUGGCCAGGUAAGUUUGGUGUGAAAGCUCGGAGCUUAACUCCGAAAAGUCAUUGAAUACUAUCUGGCUGGAGGGUCGGAGGGGAGACUGGAAUUCUCGGUGUAGCAGUGGAAAAUGCGUAGAUAUCGAGAGGAACACCAGUGGCGAAGGCGAGUCUCUGGACGACUCCUGACACUGAGG
rnacentral:rRNA from 1 species